rnacentral:rRNA from 1 species
AUUGAACGCUGGCGGCAUGCUUUACACAUGCAAGUCGAACGGUAACAGGCCGCAAGGUGCUGACGAGUGGCGAACGGGUGAGUAAUGUAUCGGAACGUGCCCAGUCGUGGGGGAUAACGCAGCGAAAGCUGUGCUAAUACCGCAUACGAUCUAUGGAUGAAAGCGGGGGACCGUAAGGCCUCGCGCGAUUGGAGCGGCCGAUAUCAGAUUAGGUAGGUGGUGGGGUAAAGGCUCACCAAGCCGACGAUCUGUAGCUGGUCUGAGAGGACGACCAGCCACACUGGGACUGAGACACGGCCCAGACUCCUACGGGAGGCAGCAGUGGGGAAUUUUGGACAAUGGGCGCAAGCCUGAUCCAGCAAUGCCGCGUGCAGGACGAAGGCCCUCGGGUUGUAAACUGCUUUUGUACGGAGCGAAACGGCCCUCUCUAAUAAAGAGGGCUAAUGACGGUACCGUAAGAAUAAGCACCGGCUAACUACGUGCCAGCCGCCGCAGUAA